AUUGUACUCCCUCCCUUCCGAAUUACUUGUCGUAGGUAUGGAUAUAUUUAGAUGUAUUUUAGUUCUAGAUACAUCCAUUUCUGCGACAAGUAAUUUGGAACGGAGGGAGUACAUA
rnacentral:pre_miRNA from 1 species